rnacentral:tRNA from 1 species
AGAAGAUCUGGCUACAAACCUUGACUUGAACUCGAGAAUAGGGCGUUCAACUCGCCCAUCUUCUU